rnacentral:rRNA from 1 species
GACGAACCGUGCGAACGUUGUUCGGAAUCACUGGGCUUAAAGGGCGCGUAGGCGGCCAUGCGUGUCUUCCGUGAAAUCCCUCGGCUUAACUGAGGACGUGCGGAAGAAACUGCAAGGCUCGAGUCCGGGAGAGGGGGGGUGGAAUUCCCAGUGUAGCGGUGAAAUGCGUAGAUAUUGGGAGGAACACCGGUGGCGAAGGCGGCCCCCUGGACCGGUACUGACGCUGAGGCGCGAAAGCGUGGGUAGCAA